rnacentral:lncRNA from 1 species
UGCUGAUGUGGUGGGGGUACUGGAAUGUGUUGUGGCGGUGCCUGGUGGUACCGUAGCUGUGGUACCAGGUCGUACCGCGGCUGUGGUGCCGGGUGGUACUGUGGAGGAGCAGGCUCCUGCCGGGGUGGCUCGGGAUCAGCCUGCUGUAGCGGGGGCUCAACCUGCGAUAGCGGAGGAGGUCCGAGUAACUCCCUUCUCUCCUCUCGCCUUUGCUGGGCAGCUACGAGAGCUUCCACCAUCUCAAAUAGUCUGUCUAAAUCCUCCCGAAGCAAAUUAUCUUGGGCCGCUCGGUUUAGUGGGGGUCUUCCUCUCCUCAUUUUCAUGUACCUGCAUU